GCCGUUUGGGACGUAGCCCAUGUUAGAUUCUGCCUCUAAUUCCCCUCACAGUUGGGGGGGAUUCUUCCAACCAGGUCAAGGUCCAAGAGAGAGAAAUUGGAUCAAUGACAUUACAAGUAAACCUACUACUGUUUAUUCAGUGGUGGAGCCAUGUACGUAGUUGAGGAUAGGAGCAUUCUAAUGCUAUGAAAUAACACACACACACACACACACAGUCAGACACAGACACAAUAAUAUUAUUUUGGGAGUAAGUGAAGUCAAUAUUGUUAAAGUUAUAACUGUAUGAACGUGCAUAUUUUCAAUUUAGACUACACUACAUGAUCAGAAGAAAAGGUUUUUAUGUUAAUUUUUGCAGCAGACACAGAGAUGUAGGCUAGUAGGGGCGAGGCUUGGUUUGGUUCCUGGCUGACAGGGAUUCAAACAACAGCUCUCUGAUUCCCCAUAGCGAUUAAUCCGAGCACUGCAGUUGUCAGUAGCUACAGUACGUUUUCCCGGGUCCAUGUUGAAGUUUGUUAACCCAGACUUUCUCGCAUACUCGCUUCGUCAGGUCAUUCCAGGGCACGCGUUGCAUCCGUUUGACCCCGCUCACAGGUAGAAGAAAACCGACUACACCCGCGCGAACUCAGUUAGAGAGGAAUGCACCAGUGGAGUGUUGGAAAAUAACAUUUCUGUUUGCCGACCUGCGUAUGAGGGCUCUGUCUGGUGGGGCUCGGCAGCUCCUCAACCCGGCCUGGAGACUCCUCGGCUCCCUCUCUCCCUACCUCCCUCUGGUAAGAAUGGCCUUUUGUUGCACAAUGCUCAGACAGCUAGCCAGCGUCCAACACCUCAAACACACAUACGCACAGCAUGCCAGGGUCUCCUCAGCUCUGCCAAUACAGAGAGGAAAGAGGAGACCACAGCAGUCAGCUUCACUUCAGCCCCUUUCCUCAGCCUCAGCUAAACAGCACACACACAUGGUCAGAAAUGGAAUUAAUGACUUAGCCCUUUUUAUGGAAGCAGUACAUUUGAUUCUAAGUUGUCUGAAGGUGAGCCAAUUAGUAGAGCUAACAGUGCGUCUGGCUUCAGACCAAGGUCUGUUCUUUUGCUGAAUGAACUCGGCAUGUUCAGGUGUAAACCAUGGGUUGGCUCUUUCAUUCUUCAUAGGAGCAUGUUUGUCAGAUACGUUGAUUAACAUACUAGAAAAAGGUUCAAGAGCAAGUUAGAAUGGUGAAGGUCAAGUGUUAUAAGUUUAUCUUAGUGAUAAGGUGUGGUUUAGUUUUUAGGCAACUGUGUUUCUGACAGACUAUAGGACAGUGAUCACUGAGGUCCAUAGCAAAUACACCACUAGUUGAGUAUUUAUGAGGGUUAUUUCUAAGUAUGAGAUUAAUCAGAGUUGAGAGUACAUUGAAACGAGUGGGCUCAGAAAUCACUUGGACUAAGCUCAGAUCAAUACAUGUGUUUGAUACCGUUCCAUUUAUUCCACUCCAGCCAUUACAAUGAGCCCGUCCUCCUAUAGCUCAUCCCACCAGCCUCCUCUGGUGUGUGUGCCUAAAUUAGUAUCUGGGCUAUGCUUUCUAAGAACCAUAUGGGGCCUGUUAAGGAAUGGGGAAACAUUACAGAACGAUAGAAAUGUCUGCAACAAACAUGAACGUAGAAUAGGUAACAGGUACCAUGCCAGCUCUAG
ensembl:lncRNA